ACGCUCGACACCUACGGGAGGCAGCAGGUGGGGAAUAUUGCACAAUGGGGGAAACCCUGAUGCAGCGACGCCGCGUGAGCGAAGAAGUAUUUCGGUAUGUAAAGCUCUAUCAGCAGGGAAGAAACUGACGGUACCUGACUAAGAAGCACCGGCUAAAUACGUGCCGGCAGCCGCGGUAAUCUGAGCGGCUGGCAAGGC
rnacentral:rRNA from 1 species